AGGUUCCUACGGGGCGCAGCAGUCGGGAAUAUUGCGCAAUGGAGGAAACUCUGACGCAGUGACGCCGCGUAUAGGAAGAAGGUUUUCGGAUUGUAAACUAUUGUCGUUAGGGAAGAGAAAGGACAGUACCUAAGGAGGAAGCUCCGGCUAACUACGUGUCAGCAGCCGCGGUAAUACGUAGGGAGCGAGCGUUAUCCGGAAUUAUUGGGUGUAAAGGGUGCGUAGACGGGAAAGCAAGUUAGUUGUGAAAUCCCUCGGCUUAACUGAGGAACUGCAACUAAAACUA
rnacentral:rRNA from 1 species